rnacentral:rRNA from 1 species
UUAGAACGCUGGCGGCAUGCCUUACACAUGCAAGUCGAACGGCAGCACGGGAGCAAUCCUGGUGGCGAGUGGCGAACGGGUGAGUAAUAUAUCGGAACGUGCCCAGUCGUGGGGGAUAACGUAGCGAAAGCUACGCUAAUACCGCAUACGAUCUAUGGAUGAAAGCGGGGGAUCGCAAGACCUCGCGCGAUUGGAGCGGCCGAUAUCAGAUUAGGUAGUUGGUGAGGUAAAGGCUCACCAAGCCGACGAUCUGUAGCUGGUCUGAGAGGACGACCAGCCACACUGGGACUGAGACACGGCCCAGACUCCUACGGGAGGCAGCAGUGGGGAAUUUUGGACAAUGGGCGCAAGCCUGAUCCAGCAAUGCCGCGUGCAGGAUGAAGGCCUUCGGGUUGUAAACUGCUUUUGUACGGAACGAAACGGUGAGCUCUAAUACAGUUUGCUAAUGACGGUACCGUAAGAAUAAGCACCGGCUAACUACGUG